rnacentral:rRNA from 1 species
CCAUUGGUUGACACUACGUGUGAACUAUUUGGAAUGAGAACAAUUUAAACACCUUAACGAGGAACAAAUGGAGGGCAAGUCUGGUGCCAGCAGCCGCGGUAAUUCCAGCUCCAUCAGUGUAUAUUAGCGUUGUUGCGGUUAAAAAGCUCGUAGUUGGAUUUCGGAGUGCGAAGGUCAAGACCCAUCAAAUUGGUGUGGUCCGACAGUCGCCUCCUAGCUUAGGGUAACAGCCUUUCUUCCUUUACGGGUUGAGAUGUGCCGUUCCCUAUCUUUUACUUUGAUAAAAUCAGAGUGUUCAAAGCAGGCGUCACUUGCCUUGAAUGUUGCCGCAAGGGAUAGUAGAAUAUGACUUCGGUCUUAUUUUGUUGGUUUCUAGGGCUGAAGUAAUGACUAAUAGGGACAGUUGGGGGCGCUCGUAUUGAGUUGUCAGAGGUGAAAUUCUAGGAUUUACUCAAGACGAACUACUGCGAAAGCAUUCGCCAAGGAUGUUUUCAUUAAUCAAGAACGAAAGUUGGGGGAUCGAAGAUGAUCAGAUACCGUCGUAGUCUCAACCAUAAACUAUGUGGACCAACGAUCCGAGGAAGUUACAUGGAUGACUCUCCGGGCAGUUUGUGAGAAAUCAUAAGUAUUUGCAUUCCGGGGGGAGUAUGGUCGCAAGGCUGAAACUUAAAGGAAUUGACGGAAGGGCACCACCAGGAGUGGAACCUGCGGCUUAAUUUGACCCAACACGGGGAAACUUACCAGGUCCGGACACAGUUAGGAUUGACAGAUGAGAGCUCUUUCUUGAUUCUGUGGGUGGUGGUGCAUGGCCGUUUUUAGUUGGUGGAGUGAUUUGUCUGGUUAAUUCCGUUAACGAACGAGACCUUAACCUAUUAAUUAGUUAUGCGAACUUGGGCUUCGGUCCUUUCGGUUCGUGGACAACUUCUUAGAGGGACUCUCGGCAUCUCUAGCCGAUGGAAGUUUGAGGCUAAAACAGGUCUGUGAUGCCCUUAGGCGUCCUGGGCCGCACGCGCGUUACACUGACGAAUGCAACGAGUUCUUCCUUCUCCGAUGGGAGUGGGUAAGCUUUUAAAAGUUCGUCGUGAUGGGGAUUGAACCUUGCAAUUAUUGUUCAUGAACGAGGAAUUCCUAGUAAGCGUAGUUCAUCAAACUGCGUUGAUUACGUCCCUGCCCUUUGUACACACCGCCCGUCGCUAGUACCGAUUGAAUGAUCCGGUGAGGAUUCAGGACGGCAGAGCUUUAGUUUGCCUGAAAGGGUAAGCGGGUUCAGCCGGAGUUUGUUCAAACCGUGUCAUUUAGA